rfam:Desulfotomaculum gibsoniae DSM 7213, complete genome.
GGGCUUGUAGCUCAGCCGGUUAGAGCGCACGCCUGAUAAGCGUGAGGUCGGUGGUUCGAGUCCACCCAGGCCCA